AGAGUUUGAUCCUGGCUCAGGAUGAACGCUAGCUACAGGCUUAACACAUGCAAGUCGAGGGGCAGCAUGGUCUUAGCUUGCUAAGGCCGAUGGCGACCGGCGCACGGGUGAGUAACACGUAUCCAACCUGCCGUCUACUCUUGGACAGCCUUCUGAAAGGAAGAUUAAUACAAGAUGGCAUCAUGAGUCCGCAUGUUCACAUGAUUAAAGGUAUUCCGGUAGACGAUGGGGAUGCGUUCCAUUAGAUAGUAGGCGGGGUAACGGCCCACCUAGUCUUCGAUGGAUAGGGGUUCUGAGAGGAAGGUCCCCCACAUUGGAACUGAGACACGGUCCAAACUCCUACGGGAGGCAGCAGUGAGGAAUAUUGGUCAAUGGGCGAGAGCCUGAACCAGCCAAGUAGCGUGAAGGAUGACUGCCCUAUGGGUUGUAAACUUCUUUUAUAAAGGAAUAAAGUCGGGUAUGGAUACCCGUUUGCAUGUACUUUAUGAAUAAGGAUCGGCUAACUCCGUGCCAGCAGCCGCGGUAAUACGGAGGAUCCGAGCGUUAUCCGGAUUUAUUGGGUUUAAAGGGAGCGUAGAUGGAUGUUUAAGUCAGUUGUGAAAGUUUGCGGCUCAACCGUAAAAUUGCAGUUGAUACUGGAUAUCUUGAGUGCAGUUGAGGCGGGCGGAAUUCGUGGUGUAGCGGUGAAAUGCUUAGAUAUCACGAAGAACUCCGAUUGCGAAGGCAGCCUGCUAAGCUGCAACUGACAUUGAGGCUCGAAAGCGUGGGUAUCAAACAGGAUUAGAUACCCUGGUAGUCCACACGGUAAACGAUGAAUACUCGCUGUUUGCGAUAUACUGCAAGCGGCCAAGCGAAAGCGUUAAGUAUUCCACCUGGGGAGUACGCCGGCAACGGUGAAACUCAAAGGAAUUGACGGGGGCCCGCACAAGCGGAGGAACAUGUGGUUUAAUUCGAUGAUACGCGAGGAACCUUACCCGGGCUUAAAUUGCAGAUGAAUUACGGUGAAAGCCGUAAGCCGCAAGGCAUCUAUGAAGGUGCUGCAUGGUUGUCGUCAGCUCGUGCCGUGAGGUGUCGGCUUAAGUGCCAUAACGAGCGCAACCCUUGUUGUCAGUUACUAACAGGUUCUGCUGAGGACUCUGACAAGACUGCCAUCGUAAGAUGUGAGGAAGGUGGGGAUGACGUCAAAUCAGCACGGCCCUUACGUCCGGGGCUACACACGUGUUACAAUGGGGGGUACAGAGGGCCGCUACCACGCGAGUGGAUGCCAAUCCCAAAAACCUCUCUCAGUUCGGACUGGAGUCUGCAACCCGACUCCACGAAGCUGGAUUCGCUAGUAAUCGCGCAUCAGCCACGGCGCGGUGAAUACGUUCCCGGGCCUUGUACACACCGCCCGUCAAGCCAUGGGAGCCGGGGGUACCUGAAGUGCGUAACCGCGAGGAGCGCCCUAGGGUAAAACUGGUGACUGGGGCUAAGUCGUAACAAGGUAGCC
rnacentral:rRNA from 1 species